UUUCACCUGCCGAUUAAGGAAGAUGAGCAGAAGGGCUGCUGUAUCUUCAAUCGAUCUCAUUCAUGGAAAAAGAUUUCUCAAUCGAUGGUCUCAUAAAUCGGGUAUUGUCUCUCCUCCAUUCUCUCUCUUCUCUUCCAAGGCUUUUCAACCUAAGCGGCGCCCAAUAGAUUUCAGAAGUGUUAAAGAAUUAGAUGAUGCUAUUAAAUUGUUUGGGGAAAUGAAGAGUAUGCGGCCUGAGCCUUCUAUUCGAGUGUACAACAAUCUUAUGAGUGUUAGUGUAAAGAUUGAGCAGUAUUCAUUUGCCCUCAAGGUGUUCGAUGAAAUGCUUCAAAUGGGUUUCCCUGUUGAUAUGUACACUAUGAGUAUUGCAAUUAACUGUUGCUGUCACUUGAAAGAUAUAAACUCUGGUUUUGCUAUAAUGGCCUUCUUUUUUAAGAGUGGUUUCGAACCAAAUGCUGUGAUAAUCAGCCAUCUCAUUAAAGGGUUGUUUUUAGAGGGUAAGGAGGCAGAAGCUGUGAAAUUAUUCCAAAAGGUUCUGGAUUUAAAAGUUUGCGAACCUAAUUGUGUUAUGAUUCUGCACUUGAUAGAUGGGUUAUGCAAAACUGGACAGGUCAUUGAGGCUUAUGAUUGGAUUCAUAGAUUAGAAAGUUGUGGGUGGAGACCCAACGUUUGGGCUUAUAGCACAUUAAUUGAUGGGUUUUGUAAGGGUAGAAAGAUGGAUGACGCAUUGCAACUUCUACCUAAGAUGGUCAGCAAAGGUAUUUUACCCAAUGUUGUCACAUAUAAUACCAUGAUUAAGGGACUGUGUGACAAUGGUAGGCAUGCCGAUGUUGGAGACUUAUUGAAUGAAAUGGCCAAUUCAAAGAUAUCUUUGGAUGUGCAUACUUUCAAUAUAUUGAUCGAUGCAUAUUGUAAGGAAGGGAAGAUGGAAGAGGCUACAAAUGUACUGAAAAUUAUGGCGCAACAAAACAUUUGUCCCAAUGUGGUCACGUAUGGUACACUUAUUGAUGGAUUUUGUAUGAAAGGUGAAAUAGAUAGAGCAAAACGGUUACUUGAUUUAAUGGUAGAGAUGGGCUUAAAGCCUAAUAUUGUUAGCUAUAGCAGCUUGUUAAAUGGAUAUUGCAAGAAGGGAUGCGUGGAUGAAGCUUGGCUUCUUUUUCUUGAAAUUCCUAGUAAAGGUUUGGUGCAUAAUACGCAUACUUAUACCACCAUGAUACAUGGAUUAUUUAGUAAAUAUAGAUUUGCCGAGGGCUAUAAACUAUUCGAGGUUAUGGAAGACCAACAAAUGCGUCCUGAUUUGCUAACUUACACUACAUUGUUGGACGGGCUGUUUAGGAAUAAGGAGAUUAAUGAGGCUGUUUCAUUGUUGCGCCUGAUUGAAGAUAAAGGAUUUACCCUUGACGCAGUCACGUAUGGUGCUCUAAUAAAUGGAUUGUGCAAAAAUGGAAAACAUGGCAUUGCGAGACAUCUUUUCAGUCAACUUCCUUCAAAUGGUGUACAACCUAAUGUUCAUAUAUAUAAUAUGAUCAUUGGUUCAUAUUUUCAGGAAGGGUCUUUGGAGGAGGUAAAACGUUUGCUGGUAGAGAUGGAGGAUCGCGGCUGUGGACCUAAUCGUGUAACAUACAAUGUUAUCAUCGGGAGUCUGCUAAAGCAAAAUGAGGUUGACAAGGCAAGAUCAUUUAUGGAAGAAAUGCGUGAAAAGGGAUUCUCUGCGGAUUCUGCAACUUCUUCGAUGCCAAGUGGAGAUGAUUUUUUACUCAAAUUGAUGAAGGACCUUGAGCCCAAGGAAAUUGUAUGCUAGUCCAUAUUAAGUGGAGGCAUCGCUGUUUCUAGUGCAGGGCGAGGAUUGAUGCAGCCUAAGCGCCAAAGGUUUAUGUCUCGAAGCUUCAAGCUGUGUUCGAUCUUUACACACCUAUGAUGGAUUGUGACAAUCUGAAGUUGAUUGGGAAUCCAUGUGGUGGAGAGCUGUGUUAUAGGGUGUGGAGAGCUGAUGGACCCUACAAUUGAGUAUCUCUUAUUGGUAGAAUUAAGGAGCCUAAAGAAUCUACCAAUGCAAAUUGACUGCCCCACCAAAUCAUCUACUCGUCUCACAGAAUUGAGAAUCUUAGCAGCUUGAUAACAUUAGAGAUAGAUGCGAGUGUAGAAUGGUCACGAGAGGAUAGUGUUGGCAUUGCAGAGACCGUGGAAGGGAUGCUGCAACUAACUUAAAUGGUUUGAAGUAAAAGGGGAACCUCUCCUCUCUAACAGAGUUAUGUCUAUAUAGUUGAAGCGUCUACCCUUUGUGGAUGCACUGAAGCACCUCACUGAAUUAAAAUACUUAGAUAUUAGAGAUUGCCCGGAACUACGUAUUGAUUCUGAAAAUCAAGGUCGAUUGCCAAACAGCUUGAAUGUUGUUGCAAGCCUUCAUCGUGUUUCCCUCUUCCAUGGAAGAAUCGAGAUCCUCCUGCUCUGGAGACGUGUUUGGCUUCUGUUCAGAUGGGUCCAACAUUUGUGUUGCCGAACUGGAGCUCCCCCAAGCUGCCUGAUGGAGAAUACAACGACGAUCUGGUGAACCUGUCGCCACGAUCAUCGUGCUGAAACUGGACUCAUCGGAUCCUUAGCCCUUCUAUCUACUGCAAAACAAUAACAAAUUGGAGAGAUAAGCAUGCGUGUAGACGUGAAUCCUAUUUAGGUUGGCGUGUAGAAAUCAAGGUCUAUGGCCAGCCCGUGUCA